rnacentral:rRNA from 1 species
AGUCGAGGGGCAGCAUUUCAGUUUGCUUGCAAACUGGAGAUGGCGACCGNCGNUUGGGUGAGUAACACGUAUCCAACCUGCCGAUAACUCGGGGAUAGCCUUUCGAAAGAAAGAUUAAUACCCGAUGGNAUAAUCAGACCGCAUGGUCUNAUUAUUAAAGAAUUUCGGUUAUCGAUGGGGAUGCGUUCCAUUAGGCAGUUGGUGAGGUAACGGCUCACCAAACCUUCGAUGGAUAGGGGUUCUGAGAGGAAGGUCCCCCACAUUGGAACUGAGACACGGUCCAAACUCCUACGGGAGGCAGCAGUGAGGAAUAUUGGUCAAUGGGCGCAGGCCUGAACCAGCCAAGUAGCGUGAAGGAUGACUGCCCUAUGGGUUGUAAACUUCUUUUAUAUGGGAAUAAAGUUUUCCACGUGUGGAAUUUUGUAUGUACCAUAUGAAUAAGGAUCGGCUAACUCCGUGCCAGCAGCCGCGGUAAUACGGAGGAUCCGAGCGUUAUCCGGAUUUAUUGGGUUUAAAGGGAGCGUAGGUGGACAGUUAAGUCAGUUGUGAAAGUUUGCGGCUCAACCGUAAAAUUGCAGUUGAUACUGGCUGUCUUGAGUACAGUAGAGGUGGGCGGAAUUCGUGGUGUAGCGGUGAAAUGCUUAGAUAUCACGAAGAACUCCGAUUGCGAAGGCAGCUCACUGGACUGCAACUGACACUGAUGCUCGAAAGUGUGGGUAUCAAACAGGAUUAGAUACCCUGGUAGUCCACACAGUAAACGAUGAAUACUCGCUGUUUGCGAUAUACAGUAAGCGGCCAAGCGAAAGCAUUAAGUAUUCCACCUGGGGGAGUACGCCGGCAACGGUGAAACUCAAAGGAAUUGACGGGGGCCCGCACAAGCGGAGGAACAUGUGGUUUAAUUCGAUGAUACGCGAGGAACCUUACCCGGGCUUAAAUUGCAUUUGAAUANUNUGGAAACAGNNUAGCCGCAAGGCAAAUGUGAAGGUGCUGCAUGGUUGUCGUCAGCUCGUGCCGUGAGGUGUCGGCUUAAGUGCCAUAACGAGCGCAACCCUUAUCUUUAGUUACUAACAGGUCAUGCUGAGGACUCUAGAGAGACUGCCGUCGUAAGAUGUGAGGAAGGUGGGGAUGACGUCAAAUCAGCACGGCCCUUACGUCCGGGGCUACACACGUGUUACAAUGGGGGGUACAGAAGGCAGCUACCUGGUGACAGGAUGCUAAUCCCAAAAGCCUCUCUCAGUUCGGAUCGAAGUCUGCAACCCGACUUCGUGAAGCUGGAUUCGCUAGUAAUCGCGCAUCAGCCAUGGCGCGGUGAAUACGUUCCCGGGCCUUGUACACACCGCCCGUCAAGCCAUGAAAGCCGGGGGUACCUGAAGUACGUAACCGCAAGGAGCUCCUAGG